GUCUGUGUAGGGAGAGGCUGGGAGCCAGGUGAGCGAGCCUGUCCUGAACCACCUGUCCUCCUAC
rnacentral:miRNA from 14 species